AGUCUUGCAUGAAUAGCAGGCUUGCUACCUGCAGCCUAUGGUAUCAUGCUAUUUGUUCUCUUUAACUAUCUAAUACUUUCCUGAGGAUUCUGGCCAUGCCAAGAA